rnacentral:tRNA from 1 species
UCCCAGGUGGCUCAGUGGUAAAGAAUCUGCUUUCCAUGCAGGAGACACAGGUUCAAUCCCUGGGUUGGGAA